GGCGGACGGGUGAGUAACACGUGGGCAACCUGCCUGUAAGACUGGGAUAACUUCGGGAAACCGGAGCUAAUACCGGAUAAUCCUUUUCCUCUCAUGAGGAAAAGCUGAAAGACGGUUUACGCUGUCACUUACAGAUGGGCCCGCGGCGCAUUAGCUAGUUGGUGAGGUAACGGCUCACCAAGGCGACGAUGCGUAGCCGACCUGAGAGGGUGAUCGGCCACACUGGGACUGAGACACGGCCCAGACUCCUACGGGAGGCAGCAGUAGGGAAUCUUCCGCAAUGGACGAAAGUCUGACGGAGCAACGCCGCGUGAGUGAUGAAGGUUUUCGGAUCGUAAAACUCUGUUGUUAGGGAAGAACAAGUACAAGAGUAACUGCUUGUACCUUGACGGUACCUAACCAGAAAGCCACGGCUAACUACGUGCCAGCAGCCGCGGUAAUACGUAGGUGGCAAGCGUUGUCCGGAAUUAUUGGGCGUAAAGCGCGCGCAGGCGGUCCUUUAAGUCUGAUGUGAAAGCCCACGGCUCAACCGUGGAGGGUCAUUGGAAACUGGGGGACUUGAGUGCAGAAGAGAAGAGUGGAAUUCCACGUGUAGCGGUGAAAUGCGUAGAGAUGUGGAGGAACACCAGUGGCGAAGGCG
rnacentral:rRNA from 1 species